GACGAACGCUGGCGGCGUGCUUAACACAUGCAAGUCGAACGGAAAGGCUCCAGCUUGCUGGAGUACUCGAGUGGCGAACGGGUGAGUAACACGUGGGUAAUCUGCCCUGCACUCUGGGAUAAGCCUGGGAAACUGGGUCUAAUACUGGAUAUGACCUUUCUCCUUAUGGGGUUUGGUGGAAAGUUUUUCGGUGUUGGAUGAGCCCGCGGCCUAUCAGCUUGUUGGUGGGGUGAUGGCCUACCAAGGCGACGACGGGUAGCCGGCCUGAGAGGGUGAUCGGCCACAUUGGGACUGAGAUACGGCCCAGACUCCUACGGGAGGCAGCAGUGGGGAAUAUUGCACAAUGGGCGGAAGCCUGAUGCAGCGACGCCGCGUGAGGGAUGACGGCCUUCGGGUUGUAAACCUCUUUCAGCAGGGACGAAGCGUAAGUGACGGUACCUGCAGAAGAAGCACCGGCUAACUAUGUG
rnacentral:rRNA from 1 species